rnacentral:tRNA from 4 species
GGCCCCUUAGCUCAGUUGGUUAGAGCACACGACUCAUAAUCGUUUGGUCGCUGGUUCAAGUCCAGCAGGGGCCACCA